AAAAAGGGCGCGUCACAGAGCAGUAAUGCCGAUGUGUCGGGAGUGGAUGAUUUGCUCCUGCGGUAUGGAUAUCAAGACAUAUCGCGCGCAUAAUUUUUUGCCCAAGGGAAGCUCGCUUACUUUUGGCUUCGCUCAAGCCGGAGCUUCCCA
rnacentral:snRNA from 1 species